GGGGCUGUAGGGUAGCCUGGACCAUCCUAUUACGUUCGGGACGUAGUGACCUGAGUUCGAAUCUCAGCAGCCCCA
rnacentral:tRNA from 1 species